UACGAAGGGGGCUAGCGUUGCUCGGAAUCACUGGGCGUAAAGCGCACGUAGGCGGAUCUUUAAGUCAGGGGUGAAAUCCCGAGGCUCAACCUCGGAACUGCCCUUGAUACUGGGGAUCUCGAGUCCGGAAGAGGUUGGUGGAACUCCGAGUGUAGAGGUGAAAUUCGUAGAUAUUCGCAAGAACACCAGUGGCGAAGGCGGCCAACUGGUCCGGUACUGACGCUGAGGUGCGAAAGCGUGGGGAGCAAACAGG
rnacentral:rRNA from 1 species